rnacentral:rRNA from 1 species
UCGACCUGACCUCAAGGGAGACUACCCGCCGAAUUUAAGCAUAUUAAUAAGCGGAGGAAAAGAAAAUAACAAUGAUUCCCUUAGUAAUGGCGAAUGAAACGGGAAAAGCCCAUCGCAGAACUGCUGGCCAUCCAGGUCACGCGGAAUGUUGCGUUUGGAAGGGUCUCUUCCAAGGCUCAGACGCCUGUCAAAGUCCAACUUGACAGUGGCCACAGCCCAUAGAGGGUGCUAGGCCCGUAAGGUGGGCGUCUGACUUUGCUGACCUCUUCCCCGAGUCGGAUAGCUUGAGAGUGCUGUCCAAAGUGCCCAGGUAAACUCCUGGUAAGGCUAAAUAUGACCCCAAGACCGAUAGCAAACAAGUACAGUGAUGGAAAUUUGAAAAGAACUUUGAAGAGAGAGUUAAGAGUACGUGAAACUGUAUGGCAGUAAACACAGCCUUCCUCGAAGUUUUGCCCGGGAGACCCAAACCUAGGGGGUGGGCCAGCCCUUGGCGCCUGAUCAGCAAUGACUGGCGUCGGGGUGCCUGGUCUGUCCACGGGUGCAUCUCUCUCGGGUGUUACGGUAGGAACUGUUGGGACUGGACCAAGGGCCUGGGAUGAAGUUCUCGCUCCGGCGUUAGCUCCCGGUGUCCCGGCUCCGGACCCGACAGGCCUAGUGGCCGACUUGUACAGCAAGCAACCCUCUGUUCGGUCG